rnacentral:snRNA from 1 species
AGACAGAGCAAGCUGUGGCUUUUGUCACCUGGUGAUUGCCAGGGUUGAUCUGACAGAUCUGUCUGGCUGGGUCGGGCCUCCUUCCUCCCCAGCUGCUUUAAUGAGGCCCUCCCGAUGCUGCGUGUUCGGUCAGAGGAUGGCCUGCUUUGCCCUGCCACCCUCUUCAAACAAGUAAGGUCAUGCUUUGGAGACGUGUGAUGCUUCCUUUUAAGUUGAAGGAAAACCACAUCGAGUGUUUUCCUCU